rnacentral:lncRNA from 1 species
UUUUUGGUUUUUUUUUUUCAAAGGAUACGGCCACAUCCAGACAUCACAACAACGAUGAAUGGAAAAAGAAAUCACAACUAGAUGCCAACGGACAACUAGGAAAAACUCAACGUUUACCAAGACCAACGGAGACGUAACCAAACAUUUACUGAUGAAUGGGAAGACUCGACCAGACAUCAACGGAUGAAUGGGAGAAGAUUCGACGUUUACCGACAUCGAAAGAUG